UACGUAGGCAGCGAGCGUUGUUCGGAGUUACUGGGCGUAAAGGGCUCGUAGGCGGCCCUCUCAGUCGGAUGUGAAAUCCCCAGGCUUAACCUGGGAAUGGCAUCCGAUACUGGAGGGCUUGAAUUCGGGAGAGGGAUGCAGAAUUCCAGGUGUAGCGGUGAAAUGCGUAGAUAUCUGGAGGAAUACCGGUGGCGAAGGCGGCAUCCUGGACCGAGAUUGACGCUGAGGCGCGAAAGCUAGGGGAGCAAACAGG
rnacentral:rRNA from 1 species